GCUGGGUGACUGGCUCUCUAGGUCUGGGAGGCGGGGCAGGAGAGCAUGAUGUGCAGUGUCCGCCACCUUCCGCGGUGUAAACACUCCCGCACGGACGCUUCAGGCUCCCAGUGCAGUCACCGCCCAUCAGCUGGGAGGAGGUGCUCGCAGGCGGUUCCCAGGAGCCCACCAGAGCUAGUCCCAGUCACCGCUGGUCCUUGCCCCCUUCCCUCCCAGCCCUGCUGCCUUCUCUGUGUUGGUUAAGACUCCUUUUUGGUUGCACGUGGCUGAAACUCAAAUUACCUUCAGCAACGAAGAGGGAAACUUAUUGGCUCAGAUCCUGAAACGUCCAGGCAUGGCUGGGUCAGACUGUCCCUCGCUCAGCUCUGCCUUCCUCUGGGGGGAUUUGUACCCAGCAGGGGUUCCCAGAUGGGGUCGCUUCCCAGGAGAGUGGCACCGAGGGCAGCGUCUCUGUCCCCACGACUGCAGCACUGACCCAGGCUGCUGGUCAUCACCCCACUUCGGUCACUCGUGUAAGGCAAGGCCGCCGCAGUGACCGAGGGUGAGCCCGCCUGGAGCAAGAGGGACCGAGAAGGGAGGGCCACAGGGGUGCUGUUCCCAGAAGAGAGGCACACCCAUGCUCUCCUGGGAGCCCCCCAUUUGCUGUUGAAUCUGAACUGACCUCACCCACCCUGAUUCUGGUCACCCUCAAAUUCAGGGCUUUCUCUGCCCUGUUGCAGCCAGGCCUCUGCACUGACCUGGUCCUGACCCCCACUUUUUGGCUCCUCCACCACCUUCUCAAUCUGGUUCAAAAUGACCGCCCCCCACUGCCCUGCACAGUCUGAAAGAAUUAUCUGGGUGUCUCUCCCGGGCCAUAUAAAUUAGUUGGAUAAUCCCCUCCAUGGCUUAGGUCCACACAAGCCAAUCUGGUUUCACUUUACUUGUCAUUUCCCCAAAAGCCCAGUUUCCUCUUUCUCUCCUGCUCAGUUUCACAUGGCCACCCCCCAUCUCCAGCCUGCAGCCCCCUCUGUCAGAUUUUCUGUCUCCUUUGUUCACCUCCAAUAGAAACUGGGAGCUGCUGGGAGCAAAGGAAAUAGAAAUUGCCGCUGAAAGAUGGGAAGAACACAAAAAAGUUUUGCAGUAAAAAAUGAAAAUAGUGAGGCAGUCCCAUAAUUUUAAAAACACCCAAAAAACCCUGCAUAGAUGGGAAAGGAAGAGCCCCAGGAGCAGAAAGGAUAUGAGUGGAGAAGGCAGAUGGGGCAGAUGUCAUUUUGCACAGAAUGUGGUCCCUCUGGUCAGGUCGUGCCGACAGGUGAGCACCAGGAACUCGGAGGGAACCAGAGCUGGGGACCGAGGGCAUUCCCGUCCGCAUCUGUCCAGUGUUUCCAGCGGGAGGGACAGGAGUACUGGGACAUUGAAGCCAGGCAGAGAUGAUGAACAUCAGAGGUGGAGGUGGCAGCUCUUCUCAAGGAAUGUGAGGGCUGACCGGCCAGAGGAAGGGCUGGGGGGAGACGCUUGCAGGAGGGGAGGAGGCGGAAAGGAAGACAGCACCAGCCCCACACGGACCCGUGGUCGUGCUCCACGGACCCCUCACUGGUGAGGCCCCCUCGCCCCAGCACGCGGGUAUCCUUGUCCUGGAGGGGUGGUGCCGCUCCUUCCACCACGUGGGCAGCGCAGGUGCAGAAAGCAGGAUGGAAGGUCAAGGGCCAGAGGCCACAGAUGGAUCCCGCUGCUUCUUGAGGAGACGCCUGUGUUCUCGAAGUCAGGUCCUAAACUACUACCAGUAGUGAUGGUCAUCGCUGCUGCCAGGUGCUCUGAGUGUCCAUACGGGGCAAAUAAGUGUGCGAAUCAGGGUCCACAUUUCAGGGCACUGAAUUCUCACGGUAACCCCCAGAGGUGGGUAAAUAUCCCCAUGUCCGGGAAGAGGACCUCCAUAUCCAGUAUUCGAACUGCAGGCUGUUUCUAAAUCCCACUCCCUGCCAUCCACAGAAAAGCAAAGAAGCCAACACCGUAGGGCUGAGUCCUGGGAGCUCAGAUGCCCAGUUGACCCCCUCCCACCCACUUGGCCGUGUGGAGUCAGUAGCCCAGCAGAUGGAAGGACCCUCCUCCGUUGGGGGCAGCUCAUCUUCCUCCUGAAGGGCUCAGGGAACAGGGAGCACAGCGUGGUGGUCAGGGCUCAGCUCUGGAGCCGCGUGGCGUGAGCGUGUCUGCUGACCUCUCUGACCCUCAGUCUCCUCUUCUAUAAGCUGAAGUCUGAUACCCACUCAGUGGGAGGAGUGGAACAGGCCCGUGUGCAGUGGGAGGAGUGAGCAUUCAAUCCAGUUCCGUCAGUGAGAUGGUCAAAACGCGGCAGGGCUGUGCUCUGCUCCCGGGUCCCGCCAGAGGGAGUACGGAGACGGCACGGAGGCGGCACUGGCCAGGCCUCUCGCUUUCUGACCACAGAGGACUCUGUUUGCGUGAUCCUGUCCAUCAGCUGCAGGAGGGAUGCUAACAGGCCCUGGCUAUGGCUCCUUCCAGCACCAAAGUGAAUUGUAAGCCACGUGUGAAGUGAAGCCAGUCAUGGCCUUUGAUCAUCUAAAUGACCACUGACAAUGAGUCCCAGUGCCAGCAGGGCAGGUCCUGCGCCCGAGUCCCUGAGCACCGUUCUCCAGUGUCUGCUCCUGGAGGGGACGCAUGCUCGCAGACCGGUGUGGCUUUGGAGUUCACAAAGCUCACAGAUUCUCUUCCAUCAGUCGGGGAUCUUUGGCCAAAACACCUGUCUCCAGCACACAGGCCAAAAGGGAGAUGCCCAGAAGAAUUUGGAGGGUCCCUGCUGGAAAGGCAGGCUGAAGGUGGGCCCUGGAGCCAGGUCAGGAACUGCUUUGCACCCAUGCGGGACCCAGGUCCCAGGAGAUCCUUCUCUCUGGCCGGGUCAGGUGAGGGGCCUGAGGUGGGCGUGAGCUGGUGGUUCCCAGACUUGCACGGGGGAAGACAGGUUCUAGGAAGGGAACCCUGUGCUCUCAGGAAGGCGACUGUGGCUACUGGGUCCAGAGAAGACACCUUGACCAGGAAGAAGGGACACGAUUGUCACAUUUUUAUCCUGGGCAGUUACUUUUCACUGCAAAUUUGUAAACUGGCAAUACGGCUCCUA